AGAGGGAUAGAAUUGCAUUUCCAUUGCAAAUUGGUAUGCAUUCUUAUGCCUUCAAGCAGCUUAUUUUGGCUUUCCUGUCAGUGCUGCACCUGUGACCUGUGCCAUCCUUUCUUAGGCUUUGGGUUGAAAUCAAGGACACUUCCUUUCAGCCCAGUUUACCAUUCAAGGCCAUUAAAGUAUCUCCAAUCUUAAGGAUCCAGAGAACUGGGAAGGAAUCUUUGGAGCUGGUGCAGACCAAAAUACAGCAACUUUGAAAGUAACUUCUUUUUGCUAUGAUUAUUUCUAACUGUGGAUCGUGCUGGUGGUGGUGAGAGUGCCCAAGCUCAUGUGCACCUGGUGACUCGAGCUGCUUUUAUCUUCCCAGAAGUUCAGUAUUAGAGCUCAAGCAGUGGUGCUGGGUCUCAUGACCUGCAGCAAGGCUGUUCUGGUACAGGUUCUACUGUUUAAUCUGAAUCCCUCCUGUCAGAGGGAGAAAACCAGCAGGUACCACAGAGGCCACAUUGCUGGGUUUCCCUGGAAUCCAGCUGCAUGCCAGUCCCUGUUACACAGUAAAACAUUUGGACUGUCAGAGAGGCUUGGUUCACAGUAAUUUUCUCUCCACAGUGGUAUUUUGGGACACCUUCUGUCCCCUCAGGUCCCCAAGAAAGUUAAAGGUAUCUUCUGCAGCAUCUGAGGUCCGCAAGACUGACUGCUGGAAGAGUAAUAAGUGUCUCCCUAAGGUAGUGGGAUUCAAGUUCUAGGCUACGGUGCUGCUUUAGCAAAUCAUGCCUUGGGAUUGGUAAUUUCAUUUGGGAGUAAUGUCGACAGAGUGUAUGGUGAUGGCCUUUAACUGGCUUCCUUCUAAAUUUCUGAGAUAAGCACAGUGUUCAGACAUGCCAUAUUCUAUUUGUAUGUUGCUGAUAUUUCAUUGACCAUCCCAAUAAAGCCAUCACUUUGAUGUGUAAAACAUGCAUCUUCUCAGGGAACAUCUGAAAACCAGGAAACUUUUGGAAUGGUUCCUUCUCCAAAGUGCUGGAAAAGAGGCAUUUUAGAGUCCUUGCCAUACCAAGAAAAUGUCAUGGUUGAAGGCAGCCUGGGCCAUGAAGACUUUGCAUAAAUCCUGAAAGGCCACUUGGAAAUGUUAUGUUUUGUUGCCAGUCAGUGAAGAGAGACCAGGGAAAAAGCCAUGUUCAUUCAUGGUGGUAGAACCAGUUAUAAACCAGCAUGGAUUCUGAAUCAGCUUUGAAUACUGCAAGCUGUAGGCAUGCUGUAACUCUCUUGCCAAUGCAAGAGGAAAGUGAGAUCGAAGAAGCUGGCCCCACUCUACCCCUUGUGCCCUCAACCCUGAUAAUCGUCACUGAAGCAAGAAUCCCACAGGCAAAACUUAUACACAGUUCCAGUGGGAUUUAUAUAGGGAAACUAAUUUACUGUACUUUCCUUUAUGCUUUUUGCUGUUAUCUUUGAGGCCAUUUGGAGCAUCCAGUCCUUCCUGCCCCUAUGCAUCUUACAUUAGAUCCAUAUUAGAUCCGCUAUAGGGCAGAAUCACGGCUGGGUGUGUGUUGUCUGUGGUAGGCAUUGGUACUUUGCUGCUGGGAGCAGGCCAAUUUGAUUAAUAUUGAGAAAGAUUCUCUCAAAGACAGGUAAUCAACCUAAGCCCUAAGUGUGCAUCAGCCUCUUGAUGUGAGAGUCAUAAUGGCUGGUACUGCCAUCAGAGCUGCAUUUAUAAAUCUGUGUGGGAGAUUGGCUGCAAAGGAACAAACCCCAGUGAUAUUAGUGCUUAUGCUCGUUACUGGCAGAGCUGACACAUCUGAGCAGGGAGACCGAGUGAGUCUGCCACUGAAAACAGAUGCAUCUUUCUUUUACUUUUUUUUUUUUUUAAUAUGGUGGGCAAAGUGACACCCCAUGCACAGUCCAAAUGAGCCAGUUCUACCUUUUCUCCUGAGUCAAGAUGAAUGAUUAGAGCAAGCUUCUGGCUGGAGGAAUACUCUGGCUGUCCUCAUGAUGCAAAAGAUUCCACCUGCUUCUAUACAGCUAAUAAAUAACUCCUGAUGCCAGAAUAACUCCUGAUUCCAAAGGUUGAUGGAUAUCAUUUGAGCUCUCAUUUCAGAGCAAUGCAGCAGACCACUGCCACCAGCAUCAAACUUUCCUGUAAUUCUGACUCUGUAGUGAAUUCCUUCCCAACUGGAAAUAAGAAAGUCUUACACAGCUCUUUCUCUGCUUGAGUUCUCUGUUUUCUGGAUUGUGAAAUUAUCCUUUGCAUAAUUCAAGAACCACUUCAUGAUCUAUGUUUGGCAGAAUUUGUUACCCAACAGAUGUCUGGACAGUUAAUGACCUCUUUAUCGGCACUUGUGAGAGGAAAAUUGUCAAGCAGGAUUGUAUCAAACAGGAGGUCCAGUCAGACAUCCCUGUGGAGAUAUUCUGCAAUCCAGGUGCUGAAGUCCCUAGAACAUAAAUCUGCACAGUCAAGUGCUUGAGAGGAUGGCUUGUACUUCAGUGUGUGCCACUGUGAAGGAGACAAAUUAGGCUGCCUGCAUACAAGUGCUUCUCUAGCAGUCGGGGUCCUGGCAGCUGCCUGGGACUCUCUCCACAUGGCUCCUGAAGUGCCAGGAAGUUUGCUAGGUGCCUCACUGGUAUCUGUUUCUGCAGUGAAAGGGUCGUUGUGGCCAAACUGUUGGAUUGGAAGGUACCAAAACCCUGGAGAAAGUUUCAGCAGCUGGAUCUAUACUGGUAAGGUUUAGAAGCCAAUGCUCUUGCAUUCUAUGCAGAGCUCUUGCAAUUGAUGUAUAGGUGGAUUACUUGGCAAUUUUGGCAUGAAACUCCUGGCAACCUCUCAGAUGGUACGUGGAUCUGGCUUGGAGGACAGCAUGGAGCAGGAGUCAUUUCCUCAAAAGCAAUUUUACGUCAUCACUUUCAGGUGAAGAAGAAAAUGUAGUUCUUCAGUGCAAGCUGGGACACACAGUUUGGCCUCAGAACCCAAAGAACAAUGUCUGGUCUGUUUUAUGAGCUAGAGAGCUGGAGCAGGUACCUGAAUUUCUUGCUGCAGAUUUGGUCUUGGUCUCUCUAGCUUUGGCAAAAGGUUUCUUUUUCAGUUUGGUGAGGGACAUUUUUGUUUGGGUUUUUUUUUGUUUGGUUGGCUGUUUUGUUGUGGGUUUGUUUUUUUUUGGCUGGGGGAGUUUGAGGAUUUUUGUUUGUUUAAGUAUGUGCCUACAUGCCUAUCUACUUUUGGUUUUCUUCAGAUGGAGAAACCUGUUUCCAACACUCAUUCAGUACAGUUUAAAGGGUCUUUACAUGUUCUUAAUUACUACCUCUCCCCUUCUCCUGUGUCUUUUCACUUGAACACUUUGGGAGACAUGGCCAAUUCUUAUUGUUUCUUGUCAUGGUUCACUGGCAAAUAACUAUUGCCCUAGUCCCCUCCAGUUACUGGUAACUGAUCCAACACACCAGACAAGUUCUUUUGAUUUCAAGAGCAUUGCUUGGCCUCCUAUGGAGUCUUUUGAGCACCUGUAUCUUUUGAUACUGAUACCUGGUUUAGAGCAUCUAUGUGAAAAUUGUCCCGUGAUCAUAUUAAGCAUACAAUACAGAGCCUGUUCUGGGGCUAGUUAGCUUGGAUUUUGGGGGCUAAUGAAAACUACUAAGACUGUAAAUUUUUUUCUCCUCUUUCCCAGCUGGACUGACUCGCAGGUUUUCUUUGUUUUCCCAUUUGGAGUUUCCUAGUGCACUUUCAGUGGUACAAGCUGUACACUCAUCAGUUCCUCAAUCUUCACAGAAGUAUUUCUACUAUCUUGUCAGAUGAUAUUUUUAUACAAGGAGGUCACUGAGUUACAGAUGAGGACAUGCCUGAAUAAUUGGUUUUGCCCUCCAAAUACAUGUGGCCUCUUGUCUCUAGAGCAUUUCCUAUUUUACAGUAAAGAGUAUUUCUCCCACUUUCAUGAAUUUCACAUUUGGUGGAUGUCCUAUGGUGGGCCAGUGCUUUUACACCCACUCUUGUCCCAAAGGAAGUCUCCCAAAGACAGCUAUACUUGACUCAGAUAUGGUUCUCUCAUCAAAAUCAAAGGGCACUCUGUAGAUUGUGACGAUAAACAUAUGGGCUUACUACAGUGCAAGAUGUUCAAAGCAAUCAGACAUUCUGGCUGCAAUUUAUCUAGAAUAAAAAUUAUCAGGAAUGGCCAGGAGGUAAUCUGAACCAAAUGCUCCACAACACCAUCCGUGAUAAUGUCCCAUCUAAAUGUGGCAUUACUGGGAUGUCUAUAUGCGCUCACAGGUUGAGGAACCUUUUGCCACAGUGAUGGCCAGAAAUGGUGAUUUGCCUGCUGAAGAAAAGGUGGCACAUAACAUUGGCACAGAGUAAGACAUGCAAAAGUUUGAUUAGACAAUCUGGGAUUCUUUUUUAACUCCAAACAGCCCUGCAGCAGUGAGUCAUAAAUCCCUGUAUACACUGAAACUUCUGCAAUUUUGCUCUCAAGCUGCUUCUUGGGACUUCUUCGCAGAAAUCAUUUUCUACAGGAGGGAUGAGUUCAGUUGCCCUGCUUUAGGAACCACAAGCUUUUAAAGCAAUCUUUUGUCACAGGUCUGAGUUGACAAAACUGGCAGCUUAGCGGGAGUUCCACCUAUUUUUUAAGGAUUCAGAUACUUUGUUUGUACAAUAUGGAGCUUUCCAUGUAAUUGCAGUAAGGGGUAAAAAUGGCUUGACUGCAAGAAAACCGCCCAGCUCCAAAAAUUUUCUGUUGAAAAGUAUGUAUUAAAAUUAUGCCAGAGCUUUGUUAGCAGUAGCAUUGCUAAGACCUUUUGGCCAUAAGUUGUAUUAGA